rnacentral:rRNA from 1 species
CACGUAGGGCGCAAGCGUUGUCCGGAAUUAUUGGGCGUAAAGAGCUCGUAGGCGGUCUGUUGCGUCCGCUGUGAAAACUCGGGGCUUAACCCCGAGCCUGCAGUGGAUACGGGCAGACUAGAGGUAGGUAGGGGAGAAUGGAAUUCCCGGUGUAGCGGUGAAAUGCGCAGAUAUCGGGAGGAACACUGGUGGCGAAGGCGGUUCUCUGGGCCUUACCGUGACGCUGAGGAGCGAAAGCGAUGGGGAG